UGGAGAGACAGCUACUGCUCGGGUCGCUCACUGACUGCUGGAAACAUGCGUCCCUGUUCACACACAGACUGGAAUGUCUCCGAGUCGGAGAAAAGGCCGACUCGAUGACAAACCUCUGAACUUUCACUCCUAAAGCAAACACUUCGCUGGGAAGACUCUAUGCAAGACUCGAGGUGUAAAAAGGUGAAAGGGAAGGAAGGGGAGCCCGGUGGGCGGAGAGUCAAACAUACACAGUCUCCAAGCUGCCAAUUUGCUGCCAAUACUCAUCCUGCACCAGGAGAUGGCAGAUUAUCAAGACGAAACAUCAAAAUUCCAAAGAAGAAGGCAAAGCAGGUGAAACAAUCGCAGCUCGUGUCUCCUUUGACCUUUUCAGUCUUGAACUUCCUCAGCCUGGCUGUUAAAGACAGUCAGAAAAGAGCGAGGCAUAUAUGAAAAAAAAAAUUUAAAUGCUUCAUUUUUUUUUUCAGUGCAGAAAGUGAUAUUGGCCAU